UACGGGGGGAGCAAGCGUUGUUCGGAUUUACUGGGCGUAAAGGGCGCGUAGGCGGUCAGCGCAAGUCAGUUGUGAAAUCUCCGGGCUUAACUCGGAAAGGUCAACUGAUACUGUGCGACUAGAGUGCAGAAGGGGCAACUGGAAUUCUCGGUGUAGCGGUGAAAUGCGUAGAUAUCGGGAGGAACACCAGUGGCGAAGGCGAGUCUCUGGGAUGAUGCUGACGCUGAGGCGCGAAAGCCAGGGGAGCAAACGGG
rnacentral:rRNA from 1 species